rnacentral:lncRNA from 1 species
CCCAACCUCCAUCCCAGGCUCCUAGGGCAGUGAAACUCAGCCGGUCCCAGCACCUGGAAGGAAGCUGCCCUGCUGCCAUCUCAAGCUCCUAGAGCCAAGAAGGUGAGCCAGUCCUAGCACCCUGGAGGGAAGCUCACCAGCCUCCAUCCCAGGCUCCUAGGGCAGUGAAGCCCAGCUUGUCCAAGGACCAGGAAGGAAGCUCCCCCAGUACAUCCCAGACUUCUAGGGCCAAGAAGGUGAGCAGGUCCCAGCAACCAGAGUGAAGCUCCUAGCCUCCACCCCAGGCUCCUAGGGCAGUGAAGCUCAGCCAGUCCCAGCACCCGGAAGGAAGCUCCCACCUGCCAUUGCAGGCUCCUGGUGCCAAGAAUGUGAACCAGUCCCAGCACCAGGAAGGAAGCUCCCCCGCUGCCAUCCCAGGCUCCUAGGACCAAGAUUUUUAGCUGGUCCCAGCACCAGGAAGGAAGCUCCCCGCCUCCAUCCCAGGCUCCUGGGGCAGUGACACUCAGCCAGUCCCAGCACCCAGAAUGAAGCUCCCCAACUCCAUCCCAGGCUCCUAGGGCAGUGAAACUCAGCCGGUCCCAGAACCUGGAAGGAAGCUCCCCUGCUGCCGUCUCAAGCUCCUAGAGCCAAGAAGGUGAGCCAGUCCUAGCCCCUGGAGGGAAGCUCAAAGCCUCCAUCCCAGGCUCCUAGGGCAGUGAAGCUCAGCUGGUCACAGCACCCAGAGGGCAGCUCCCCGACUCCAUCCCAGGCUCCCAGGGCCAAGAAGGUGAGCAGGUCCCAGCACCCAGAGGAAUGCCACCAGCCUCCAUCCCAGGCUCCUAGGGCAAUGAAGCUCAGUCAGUCCCAGCACCCCAAAGAAAGCACCCCCGCUGCCAUCCCAAGCUCCUAGGGCCAAGAAGGUGACCUGGUCCUAGCACCUGGAGGGAAGCUCCCCAGCAUCCAUCCCAGGCUCCUAGGGCAGUGAGGCUCAGCUGGACCUACCACCUGGAAGGAAGCUCCCUGGCUGCCAUCCCAGGCUCCUAGGGCCAAGAACGUGAACCGGUCCCAGUACCCAGAUGGAAGCUCCCAGCCUCCAUCCCAGGCUCCUAGGGCAGUGAAGCUCAGCUGGUCCCAGCACCCAGAAGGAAGCACCCCCGCUGCCAUCCCAAGCUCCUGGUGCCAAGAAGGUGAGCCAGUCCUAGCACCUGGAGGGAAGCUCCCCAGCCUCCAUCCCAGGCUCCUAGGGCACUGAAGCCCAGCUUGUCCAAGGACCAGGAAGGAAGCUCCCCCACUACAUCCCAGACUCCUAGGGCCAAGAAGGUGAGCAGGUCCCAGCAACCAGAGUGAAGCUCCUAGUCUCCACCCCAGGCUAAGAGGGCAGUGAAGCUCAGCCAGUCCCAGCAGCCGGAAGGAAGCUCCCACCUGCCAUCCCAGGCUCCUGAUGCCAAGAAUGUGAGCAGGUCCCAGCACCAGGAAGGAAGCUGCCC